rnacentral:pre_miRNA from 1 species
UGGAAGACUAGUGAUUUUGUUGUUGUUGCUAGCUUACAAACAAAAAAUCACAGUCAUCCAUU